ensembl:lncRNA
CAGAUCACUUACAACUAUUUAUUUACUUAGCAAACUCCCUGGCCAGAUCUAGUCACAUAACUCCACUCAACCAAAAGUUCUGGGUCCAGAGAAGGGAGACCCAGAAGUAUCUGGCAAACAUCAUUACUAACUCCCUAAGUACUUCUCCCAACUCUGUGUUAAGUGCCAGUCAUUUCACGUCCCUUAAGGAGGUCAUAGUGGGGAAACCAGGGGAAAGUAAACAAAACAGCUACAACCUGGAAAAUGCUAUGGUAGCCUAAACUCUCUCUCAGUGUACACUACAAGGAAUUAAGGUUUUAGUGUUCCAAGCCUAGGAGCUGAAGCCCAGAUUACCACUGGAAGUCUUCUGGCAACCAUGAGUGGAACCAGCAUCGGGACAACUGAGAAGUCAUGGAAGGAACCUGGAUCCCUAAGGCAAUGCCAUGCCACACCCCUGUGGACCUGGAGCCUGCUCUACCUCUCAACGGAUAGUUUGUGAGAUAAUAAACGUCUUCACCAUUUGAGCCAACUUGAGCCCGGCUUCUGUUACUUGCAGGCUGAAGCAUCCUAAGUGAUAUCCCAAAUAAUACACUCAUCUCCAUGUUGCUUGAUAAGUAAGCUGAAAAUUAAGAUAUGGGCGCGCGCGUGCGUGUGUGUGUGUGUCUGUGUGUGUGUGUGUGUGUGUAUGGGAUCUCACCCAGCUGGAUUCUGAGGCCCCAGAAGCAGAUACUAUAUCUUUUCUUUCUAUCUACUCACAAGGCUUGCUGCUGCCUUGACUGCAACAGGUGCUGACUUCCCUACAAACAUGUCCCCCCCAGUCUCUCCAUCCAUAUUUGUACAUCCAUAGACACUCCUAAGGAAGCAAAUGUUCAGCUACUCGAUGCAACAACUCAGCACAGAAACACACAAAGACUCACUAAGGGACACAAUUUGCUAUAAGCCAAGAUGUCCAAGGAAAACAGCAGACCCACAAGUUUUACAGAGUAAACCUGCUCAGUUAUCUAAAAUAGUGCUUUUCAAACAGUGAGCUGUUUUAAUAUGAAAUCAGUUUAAUACUAUGCAAGUCUGCAUUUAAAAAAAAAAAAGUAAAACGGAAAAUAUAAGCAUGUGUUACACAUAGUAAGGGUUAAGACUGUUUCGUGAAGCUUUUGUUUCAAGCACAUGUUGGGGGUCUAAGUGCAAUGAAAUGUGUUUUCUCACUGUUGGUGGCCAUGUGAUGAACACUGAUUUCAAAGGAAUCCUCUGGUGCCAUCUGGCGGUAAAAGCCAUACCUGCAGUUGAGGCAGGAGUAGUAGAGCAGUGAUGAGAACACAAACCAAACAGGUUAAGGGUAGGAAGCGGACUUAGAAAUGAUCUAGUCAACUCCAAUAUCCAGCGCAAGAAUGCUUUCAACAGUAUUAAGCCACUGCUUGACUACUCCCCACAAAGAAGGCACUCACUCCACUGCUAAGCAACUGCUGAAAAGCUGGUCAAUUUGCCUCCCUCUAAGCACUCCUUCCUGGACUUAUUAUUGCCUCUUGGAUAACAAGGAGCAGUUUCUAUUCCUCUCAGUUCUGUAUUAUCAGUCAAUUAAAUACUAUUGAUUCAGUCAAGCAACAUUUAUUGAGUGUCUGCUAAGUGCGAGGCAUUGGGGAUACAGUGGUGACAAGACAGAGAAGGGACAGAGACAAACAUAAAUAAGAGAUUAUAACAAAUGAAGGAUUCAACAGUAUGGAGGAUAGAGGGACCUACUUUAGAGAAGGUGAAAGGGAAGGCCUCUCUGAAAAGGGGAUGCUGAGUUGAGUCCUAGGGAAUUGGACAAAGUCAGCUGUGCAAAAGGCAUUCCAGAAGGGAGGAACAGCAGAUAGAAACGCUGCGGGGUGGGAAUGGACUGGGAGCGUUCUAGUAUCAGAAAGUAGGCAUGGGGGCUGGAGAACAGUAGAAAACAGGAGAAACCAGGGAGGACUCUAGAGAGAGAAGCCAGCUGAGGUCACAGAGGGCCUGGCAGGAGCCUGGGACUGAUCUCAACAGCACGCUGGACGUGGUCAGUGAUGCGCAGCACAAAAGGUGGGGAGAUGCAACAGGACGUAACACAAGUACAUCUGAUCCUAGUUCCCACAAUUCCUUCUUCCUGGUGUUUCUAACACGUGUUUCUUUCUGAUCUUCAAAUCAAGAUGACUGACAGUGGUUCCCAUGUCUCGAGGAAAAAGGACCUCACUGAUUUGCCUAUGAGAUUGGCCAAGAUAAAAAGAUUUACAACACACUGUGGGAAAGAGUAAGGAAGAGAGUGCUGCUGGGCACUGCUCAUAGGGAGUUCUGAGGUGAAUGAGCAUGUUUCAGGACUUACAGGCCAUCAAGUGGCGAUUAGCUGAGCAAAUCACAGUGCAUCCACGCAAUGAAAUACUAACCAAUCUUGAAAACAUAAACUAAAAGAACUGGACAUGGCAAGAUGGUCAAGAUACGCUUUUCAGAGAAAAAGGAUAUCUGUGAGUUUCCACACAAUAGCGACCUUCAUACCAUCGAGGGUGUUGGUGACGCCGCAUUUCUUAAAAGACCAUCAUCAUCUUUCUCUGAGAUUUUCUUCCAAGCUGCUGCCCCUCACUCUGUAAGUUUUGAUACCUUUUCUUGAUCCCAUCAGAAGGUAUCAAUGGAUGGUUUUCAAACAGCAAUCAGGAUCUGUGCUCCUUCUUCAAAUGGCCUUUAAAUGGUAUGGGGACAAAAGCAUCCAGGGGCUGUGGUUGCAGAGGUCCAGCCCUGCCACCAGGAAUAACGACCAUGUCCACUUGCACAGGUAAUGACAAAUCUAACACAACCUGACAGUGACUGCAGGACACAUCAAGAAUAAAUCACAUCUGAUUUCAAAAAAGUUAAAAGGCAAGAACACAUGUGUCACAGAAUCAAUCAAACACAGCAUUGCUUCACAAGAAGAAAACAGUAACAAACAUAAAAGGCAAAUAUUAAACUAGGAAAAAUAUCUGUGACACACCACAAAGUAUUAACAUCCUUUCAGUAUAAAGGACUAGUAAAUUAGUAAGAAAAAAGCCCUAAUAUCCAAGAAGGAAAAAAAGGACAAAAGACAAAAAAAAGAACAAUUCACAAAAGAAAUCCAACUGAUCAAUGAACACACAUAUCAGCUCUAUCAAUAAUUUUUUAAAAAGCACAAUGAAAGCAAAAGCAGAGAGCAGUACUUCUCCUAUCAAAUUGGCAACAGAACUAUUUUUUAACAGAAGCUGGCGCUGGAGAGGGCUGAGGAGGAUGGCACUCAACACCGCCGCCAGAACAAUCAACUGGCACAGGCACGUCCAAGGCACCGUGGCAACAGGUACAGAAAGCCAGAAAAGCAUGUGUACCCAAUGACAGAACAACCCCACUUCUGGGAUCUAUCCUAAGGAAACAAGAAUGGACACAAAGAUUUUUGUACAAGAAUACUGAACCUGGAAUUAUCGCAUCAGGUGAACAAAGCAGAAUACAAAAUUACAUAUACAGGAUGCUCCCAAUUUUGCUAGAAUGAACAUAUACAUAUACAUAAAGACUGUCCCAAAGUAGAUACCAAAAAUCUAAUACUACUUAUCUCCAUACCACGAUCCUGUGCAUCUUGUUUGCUGUCCAUUCCCAUUAGUCCUCUGUUCCCAAAACCCAGAGAACAUCCCUUCUACUUGUAUGUCCUAAUUUCAUGUUUGAAACCCAGAUGCAAAGAAUCAAAUAUCUCAGAUUUAGACAGACCUCAAAGAUUUUCUCAAUUUCAUUCAAUCCACUACUACUCUAAAAAUUUUCAUGACAUUCACAUACCACAUGUUCAAUUUAAUAUGUCUUGAAAUCAACUACCUUUUUUUAAUACUCAGAAGAAGAUAUCUGGUAGCAUAUCAGACCUAACGCAUUCUGUAAUAAAUACCUAAUUAUUUAAAUUUAAAAUACCAGUCUGUGUACCGCCUAAAACCAUCUCACAUUCCUCCCGUGGGAAACACUGACCUGGCCCAACCCCUAUCUAUUCAUCCAAGAAAGAUUUACUGACUCUGUCCCAUCUGCGUGGGUGUCAACUGCCACAAUGGGAAUUUCAUGGCAAAGGUGUGAAAAAGCCUCCCAUAGGCAUCAUUUCAUCAGAGGGUUCAGGGCACGAGAAGGUGCCCUCUCUGCUCGCUGGCUGAUGAGGAUCAAGGCUGGGUUGGUUCAUUUUACUUCUAAUCAACACUCAUGAGUGCUCACUAGGCGCCAAGUGUUAUUCUAAACGCUUAACACGUAGGAACACAUAACCCUCCUAACAAGCCUACAAGGAAGGCACUGCUUUACAGACAGAUGUUAAGGUAGUUUCCUCAAGCUGUGCAACCUUGCAGAGAACUUCAUUCUGUUGCUUUUCAAACCUACUGACCCACCUGAUCUAGACCCCUCUCCCAACACUUCAGUUGUUUACGUCAUGUGUAUCUGUUUGUGAGUGUGUGUUUGUGUACCUGUUUGUAUAUACAUACACAUGUACAAUAAAACACAUACACGUAUAUACACGUGUGCAUGUAUACAUCAUCAAAAAUACGCAGUUUUGGAAAGACAGUUCACAAAAGAAGAUACAGGAAUGGCCAACAAGCACAUAGAAAGAUGUUUAACAUCGUUAGUUGCCAGGGAAAUGCAAUUUAAAACCAUAAUGAACUGCUAUUUCACACACAGUGACAAUACCGAAUGUUAACAAGGAUAUGAAGCAAUGGCAGUUUUGAUAUCUUGCUGGUGUAAACUGAUAAACCACUUUGGAAAUUAGUCUGGCAAUUAAAAUACAUACCCACCGGAGAAGAUCCAAGAUGGCGCCGUGAGUAGUCCUCUUUGUCUCUCGCCCUUCGAGUCUACAAUUAUUUGGACACUUAUCGCUUGACAAAGGAUAUCCAGACAGCAUCUCAGGACGUCUGAGACACCCACGUGACUAUACAUCAGAAGGCGGACGGACUUUCCUCCGGGAGGAUGUGGAAAUAGGUGAAAACUCUCUGACCCCGAUGGGCAGCCUAGUACCCGCAAGCGGCUUUCUUCCAACGGACGCCCCCAGAGGAUCCACACACAUCUAGGGCAGGAGCGAGAACACAACAGAGGAGCGACAGUGGAAACAGGUGACCAGAACCCUACCUAAACCCCCCGCAAUUACUCCUAAACGCAGAGGGAAACUUUGGAGUUGCACACCUGAGCCCGCGGGGAGAGUCUCUCCCCGCCAUUGGGUCCCAGAGAGAGUCACGGAGGGUACGGAGGUCUCCCAGCUGCCGUUGCCGGUGACCCGGAGGGGAAGCGCCGGAGCUCCGCCCGGGCAGCAGACAAAACUCUCUGUCUGCCGUUAGCAGAGGGGCCACGCUGAGGAUUCAUGGCUCCGGGAGAGGCCCAGAGAGAAUCCCAGAGGGCGGGGCGACCCCCAGCUGCC